GAAAUGGAUUUGAAGCUGAUGCCUUUGAAAGUUGUCUGAGGGUGAGCUGGAGCUGAUGUGAAUGUCCGGUGUAGAUCCUGAGAGCUGCUAUCUGAGAAAUAUGGCGAGGUAUUUAGCAUCAAGCUGGGACCCACAACUGCAGUGGUGCUGACUGGUUAUGAAGCAGUGAGGGAUGCUCUCAUCAACAAUGCAGAUGAAUUUGGAGAAAGAGCACACAUCCCAAUAUUUGAAAGAAU